CAAGGGUCUCAUCCGCGACGAAGGGCUUUAACGCUCAGGGUCAGCAACCUCUGAGAGCUCUUGGGGACUUGCGCGCCCUUGGAUGCUCUUGCGUUCAACAGGGCUAGGAGACUACCGGCUGGGGCGAGGAAUGCAGGCGCCUAGAGCCUUGGAGCUCCUGAAACGUUCCUGCCGCCUCCGGAAAGCAAGGGCAGUUUACCGAAGUGACUGAGGCCAAGUAUUUGCAGCACGGGCAGGGACCAGUAACUGAUUUUCAGGCCUUUUGAGAGGAAGAGGAAGAGAGAGGAAGAGAAGGAUUUCUAAUAGUAGAUAUUCACUGUCAUGGACUCUUUAGGAAACAGCAACAAAGACAAGAUUAAGAACACCAAAUUGUGUGACUAUCCACACAAAAAAGCAUCUUCAUAAGAACCAAAAAUCAGCCUCAUUUGUUCCUUGGCAUGGGCUCUCUAGGAUCACCAGCGAUCUUUUUAUGUGAAUAUCUUCCUAGCCUCAAGCAACUGUGUCUUCUCUCCAAGGAGCCCACAGAGUCUGGUGCUUAUUUAUUGAAUAG
rnacentral:lncRNA from 1 species